UGGGGAAUCUUGCGCAAUGGGCGAAAGCCUGACGCAGCGACGCCGCGUGCGGGAAGAAGGCCUUCGGGUUGUAAACCGCUUUCAGGAGGGACGAAGCCACUCAGGUUAAUAGCCGAGAGGGUGACGGUACCUCCAGAAGAAGCCCCGGCUAACUACGUGCCAGCAGCCGCGGUAAUACGUAGGGGGCUAGCGUUGUCCGGAUUUAUUGGGCGUAAAGAGCGUGUAGGCGGCCAUGUAGGUCCGGUGUGAAAACUCGAGGCUUAACCUCGAGAUGUCAUCGGAAACCAUUUGGCUAGAGUCCGGAAGAGGAGAGUGGAAUUCCUGGUGUAGCGGUGAAAUGCGCAGAUAUCAGGAAGAACACCAAUGGCGAAAGCAGCUCUCUGGGACGGUACUGACGCUGAGACGCGAAAGCGUGGGGAGCGAACA
rnacentral:rRNA from 1 species